rnacentral:tRNA from 1 species
UGCCCUAGUAGCUUAAUUUCAAAGCACCGGUCUUGUAAGCCGGAGAAUGAGGAUUAAAAUUCUUCCUAGUGCAG